rnacentral:rRNA from 1 species
GACGAACGCUGGCGGCGUGCUUAACGCAUGCAAGUCGAACGGAAAGGCCCUGCUUUUGUGGGGUGCUCGAGUGGCGAACGGGUGAGUAACACGUGAGUAACCUGCCCUUGACUUUGGGAUAACUUCAGGAAACUGGGGCUAAUACCGGAUAGGAGCUCCUGCUGCAUGGUGGGGGUUGGAAAGUUUCGGCGGUUGGGGAUGGACUCGCGGCUUAUCAGCUUGUUGGUGGGGUAGUGGCUUACCAAGGCUUUGACGGGUAGCCGGCCUGAGAGGGUGACCGGCCACAUUGGGACUGAGAUACGGCCCAGACUCCUACGGAAGGCAGCAGUGGGGAAUAUUGCACAAUGGGCGGAAGCCUGAUGCAGCAACGCCGCGUGCGGGAUGACGGCCUUCGGGUUGUAAACCGCUUUCGCCUGUGACGAAGCGUGAGUGACGGUAAUGGGUAAAGAAGCACCGGCUAACUACGUG